rnacentral:rRNA from 1 species
GCUAACGUGUGGACAGCAGGCGGUGUAAUACGGUGGGUGGGAGCGGUAAUCUGAUGUACUGGGCGUAAAGCGUGCGUAGUGGGCUUUUUAAGUCGGAUGUGAAAUCCCCGAGCUUAACUUGGGAAUUGCAUUCGAGACUGGGAAGCUAGAGUAUGGGAGAUGAUGGUAGAAUUCCAGGUGUAGCGGUGAAAUGCGUAGAGAUCUGGAGGAAUACCGAUGGCGAAGGCAGCCAUCUGGCCUAAUACUGACGCUGAGGUACGAAAGCAUGGGGAGCAAAUAGGAUUAGAUACUCUUGUAGUC